rnacentral:rRNA from 1 species
GAAGCGGCAACAGCUCAAAUUUGAAAUCUGGCCUCCCGGGGUCCGAGUUGUAAUUUGUAGAGGAUGUUUUGGGUACCGCCCCGGUUUAAAUUUCUUGGAACAGAAUGUCAGAGAGGGUGAGAAUCCCGUCUUGGACCGGUGGUAGGGCCUGUGUAAAACUCCUUCGACGAGUCGAGUUGUUUGGGAAUGCAGCUCAAAAUGGGUGGUAAAUUUCAUCUAAAGCUAAAUAUUGGCCAGAGACCGAUAGCGCACAAGUAGAGUGAUCGAAAGAUGAAAAGAACUUUGAAAAGAGAGUUAAACAGUAUGUGAAAUUGUUGAAAGGGAAGCGCUUGCAACCAGACUUGAGCGCGACGGUUCCCCUAGCCUUUUGGCUAGGUUACUCCGUCGUGUCCAGGCCAACAUCGGUUCUGAGGGUCGGUCAAAGGCUCUGGGAAUGUAUCUACCCACGGGUAGACUUAUAGACCAGGGUGUCAUGCGACCUCUCCGGACCGAAGGAACGCGCUUCGGCUCGGAUGUUGGCGUAAUGGUUGUCAGCGACCCGUCU